CGGGCUGAAUCCUCACCCAAACCCUACUCCAAAACCUUCGCCAGAGAGAGAGAGAGACAGAGAGAGAGACAAUGGCAUGGCGCUGUCCCCUUUCCAGAUCACUGAUCUCCACCGCUAGGGCUUCAACCACCCGCACACUGCCGCCGCUCCCCCUCCUACGUCCGCCGCCGCUCGCCGCCCCUCACCUCCAAUCUCGCCUCCUCUCCUUCGCCAGUCCCAGCGUUUUUGGUCUGAAUCAAGAGAAAUGCUCCACGCCACCGAUUUUCGAUCACCGCCCUCUUUCAACUCUCUCGUCAUCAAAAUCAGCUUCCAAUAGCUCCGAAAUCCUCAGCUACAUGGGGGGCAUAGACGGUGAUCAAAAGCAAUUGAUUAAAAAACUAGUCAAUUUCCGCAUGAAGAAAGGCAAAAAAACUAAGGUUCGUUCCAUCGUGUACCAGACCUUUCACCGCCUGGCUCGAACCGAACACGAUGCUAUCAAGGUCAUGGCCGACGCGUUGGAGAAUGUGAAGCCAGUGUGCGAAGUGGAAAAAGUAGGAAUAGCGGGUACUCUGUACGACGUCCCCGGGAUUGUGCCCAAGGACCGGCAGCAAACCCUAGCUAUUCGUUGGAUCCUUGACGCGGCGUUCAAGCGACGAGUUAGUCACAGGACGAGCUUGGAGAAGUGUUUGUAUUCUGAGUUGCUGGAUGCUUAUAGGAAGAGGGGAAUCGCGCGUAAGAAGAGAGAGAGUCUUCAUGGGCUGGCUUUGACCAAUCGAAGUUUUGCACAUUUCAGAUGGUGGUGAAGUGAGACUAUGGAGAGAGAUCUUCCUCGUUCAGUCGGUACAAUAAUGCAGGGUACUUGAACAUACUUCAGCUCAGCACUCUGGGUGCCAUCUAUAAUUCAUUAGACGAGCUUUGGCAAUUCUAAUGCCUUCAUUAUGAUGAAUUUCACAGAGCAUUAAAACGUGUUGAUGGCGAGCUAGUGGUAACACAGAGAGGAACAUAUCCAUUUUGUUGAUGAUGCAAUCGUCCGGUGGAUGAGCAUUUCAUCUGGGUUUGGUACAAAAGGCAGUGAAACUAGCUAAGCUAGUUCUUUGCAUUCCAAUGUUUCCGAAAGCUAAAACCUUAUUUUAUUUUAUUUUGAAUUGAGUGUAUUAUCAGAUUUAUUUGGCAAUAAUGUUGCUCCCAUGGUAAAUAUAGUUCGUAAGAGAAUUUUGGCUGGA